AUGCCUUUCCAGCAGUGGCAACCAUCUGCUCUCUGCUUACCUUCCCCAAAAGCCCUGCAGAUGGGAGAGAUGUCCGAGCCCACAUCCAACGUGCUGAUACGACGACUGAAGGAUGCUGAAGCUGAGCACGACCCGGAGGAGCUGGAUGUGCAAGACAGAAGCACCGGGGUAACCUUUGAAACAAAGGACUUCAAAGUGACAGCGGGCUGCAUCGCUGCCAACAGCGAGUCGAGCGGAACAUCGAGUGAUGGGCAGGAUGAAGAUGACCAGGACGAAACGUACUUCGCUGUUUCUUUGUCUCCCAAAGGAAUCAGGACCAGCAGGAAAAGGCCAAAGAUCAAGAGCGGGUGGUCCCCGGCACAGAAGAAAAUGAGAACACUGGAAGUGGCAGAAGAGCCAUUGCUCCCCGUGAAGGCGGAGGCUGUAAAAGUUGCAGCUCAGGAAAAGGAGAAGAGGGCAGAAGUAACGCAGGCAGUGACGGAGUCGUGUGAGUUCAUGGACACUGCCGUGCUGGUGGUUCUCAUCCUCGUGGCCUUCAUGGUCUUCACGCACCUCGCUCUGGCGGUGGUGGUAACGGUCUGCUGCUGAGCUUCAGCCUGGAAAGAAAGAGGCAGCACCCGUGUCAGCAGCGAGUGCAGAGCUGAAGAAUGUGUUUUUCUCUCCCUGCGAUGUGCACGAGCUCUUCUGGAGGUCAAUUAAAGGGCUGGGACGAGUGUGAGAAGUCGGUGAGUGGCGUGUGCCUGGUGCUUGCUCCGUGCACUGAUUCCAGGCUCCUGGCAACGUCACCUGCUCUGCUGCUCCUCCUCUGAAGCCCGGCUGGUUCAGAGCUGGGAGCUGUGUGUGACUUGGUGUUAACUGGGCCCCCUCCAGGCGGGAUCACCCCCAUCUUUGGGAAGGUCAAGCUCCUCGAUGCUCUGGUUGUAUUACAUCUUGGGAAGCACCAAGCUGGCAGGACGGGCAAUGGCUCUAACGUAAUACAAGCCAUGGAGGUUCAAGGAAGGGGUUACUAUAUCGUAACCACUCUGGGAAAAUAACCUUGCCCCUUCAAGGCUGGAAAUAUUAGUGAAAAGGGGGAAUGGUGACAGUGCCCAGUGCUGUUUUAGUGGGUCUUUGCUUUGGCAUACAAAUGUUCCUAAUUACUUCUCUUAAAAAUAAUAAAGUGGAGCGGGAGGAAGAGUGGAAGGGUCCA
rnacentral:lncRNA from 1 species